GAAAAGAAACCAACAGGGAUUACCUCAGUAACGGCGAGUGAAGCGGUAACAGCUCAAAUUUGAAAUCUGGCUCCUCGGGGCCCGAAUUGUAAUUUGUAGAAGAUGCUUUGGGUCUGGGCCUGGCCUAAGUUCCUUGGAACAGGACGUCGUAGAGGGUGAGAAUCCCGUAUGCGGCUGGCGCCCGUGCCCGUGUAAAGCUCUUUCAACGAGUCGAGUUGUUUGGGAAUGCAGCUCUAAAUGGGUGGUAAAUUUCAUCUAAAGCUAAAUAUUGGCCAGAGACCGAUAGCGCACAAGUAGAGUGAUCGAAAGAUGAAAAGCACUUUGGAAAGAGAGUUAAACAGUACGUGAAAUUGUUGAAAGGGAAGCGCUGGCAACCAGACUUGGGCGCUGUUGAUCCGCUAGGGUUCUCUCUAGGGCACUCGGCAGUGCGCAGGCCAGCAUCGGUUUGGGGGGUUGGAGAAUGGCUGGUGGAAUGUGGCUGUCUUUGGGCAGUGUUAUAGCCACCGGUGGCAUGCAGCCUCCCCGGACCGAGGACCGCGCUUCGGCUAGGAUGCUGGCGUAAUGGUUGUCAGCGACCCGUCUUGAAACACGGACCAAGGAGUCUAACAUCUAUGCGAGUGUUUGGGUGUUAAACCCAUACGCGGAAUGAAAGUGAACGUAGGUGAGAACCCGCAAGGGUGCAUCAUCGACCGAUCCUGAUGUCUUCGGAUGGAUUUGAGUAAGAGCAUAGCUGUUGGGACCCGAAAGAUGGUGAACUAUGCCUGAAUAGGGUGAAGCCAGAGGAAACUCUGGUGGAGGCUCGCAGCGGUUCUGACGUGCAAAUCGAUCGUCAAAUUUGGGUAUAGGGGCGAAAGA
rnacentral:rRNA from 1 species